rnacentral:rRNA from 1 species
GACGAACGCUGGCGGCGUGCCUAACACAUGCAAGUCGAGCGGGGUUGAAGCGAGGGGUAACUCGAGUUUCUACCUAGCGGCGGACGGGUGAGUAACGCGUGGGCAACCUGCCUCAAGGACUGGGAUAACAGCUCGAAAGGGCUGCUAAUACCGGAUAAGCCUAUGGCCUCGCAUGGGGCCAUGAGCAAAGGGGAAACCCGCCUUGAGAUGGGCCCGCGUCCCAUCAGCUAGUUGGUGAGGUGAAGGCUCACCAAGGCGACGACGGGUAGCCGGCCUGAGAGGGUGACCGGCCACACUGGGACUGAGACACGGCCCAGACUCCUACGGGGGGGCAGCAGUGGGGAAUCUUGCACAAUGGGCGAAAGCCUGAUGCAGCGACGCCGCGUGAGCGAAGAAGGCCUUCGGGUUGUAAAGCUCUGUCUGGAGGGACGAAGGAAGUGACGGGUACCUCCGGAGGAAGCCACGGCUAACUACGUG